UGGGCUAUGGUGUAAUGGUAACACUACAGAUUCUGGUCCUGUCAUUCCUGGUUCGAGUCCAGUAGCCCAACAA
rnacentral:tRNA from 1 species